rnacentral:rRNA from 1 species
AGGGCGCACGGUGGAUGCCUUGGCAUCGGGAGGCGAUGAAGGACGUGGUAAGCUGCGAUAAGCUUCGGGGAGCCGCUAAGCGGGCUUUGAUCCGGAGAUUUCCGAAUGGGGAAACCCGGCAGGGAUUAUGCCCUGUCAUCGCAUGGUGAAUCCAUAGCCAUGCGAGGCGAACGGAGGGAACUGAAACAUCUAAGUACCUCCAGGAGAAGAAAUCAAUUGAGAUUCCGUCAGUAGUGGCGAGCGAAAGCGGAACAGCCCAAACCGAGGUUACUACGGUGACCUCGGGGUUGUGGGGCCCCAACGUGGGAUUGAGGAUGGGUAGCAGAAGGCUCUGGAAAGUGCCGCCAUAGCGGGUGACAGCCCCGUAUGCGAAACCUUGAAUCACCCUAGGGUGUCCCCGAGUACCACGGGACACGUGAAAUCCUGUGGGAAGCUGGGAGGACCAUCUUCCAAGGCUAAAUACUCCCCGAUGACCGAUAGCGCAUAGUACCGUGAGGGAAAGGUGAAAAGAACUGCGAUGAGCAGAGUGAAAUAGAACCUGAAACCGUGUGCCUACAAGCAGUGGGAGCACUAUGGCUUCGGCCAGUGUGACCGCGUGCCUUUUGCAUAAUGAGUCAGCGAGUUACGCUCAGCAGCGAGGUUAAGCCGUGAGGUGGAGCCGUAGCGAAAGCGAGUCUGAACAGGGCGCUUGAGUUGCUGGGAGUAGACCCGAAACCGGGUGAUCUAUCCAUGUCCAGGGUGAAAGGACGGUAACACGUCGUGGAGGCCCGAACCCACUUAGGUUGAAAACUGAGGGGAUGAGGUGUGGAUAGGAGUGAAAGGCUAAUCAAACUCGGAGAUAGCUGGUUCUCCCCGAAAUAUAUUUAGGUAUAGCCUCGUAUGAAUCGUUCCGGAGGUAGAGCACUGAAUGGGCUAGGGAUCCUACCAGAUUACCAAACCUAAUCAAACUCCGAAUGCCGGAAACGAAUGUACGGGAGUCAGACGGCGGGUGAUAAGAUCCGUCGUCAAGAGGGAAAGAGCCCAGAUCGCCAGCUAAGGUCCCUAAGUCUGUGCUAAGUGGAAAAGGAUGUGGGAAUGCCUAGACAACCAGGAGGUUGGCUUAGAAGCAGCCACCCUUUAAAGAAAGCGUAAUAGCUCACUGGUCAAGUGGGCCCGCGCCGAAAAUGUAACGGGGCUCAAGCACAGCACCGAAGCUGCGGAUUUGCACCUUAAGGUGCAAGUGGUAGGGGAGCAUUGUGGUAACCGCUGAAGGUCGACCGUGAGGACGGCUGGAGGAGCCACAAGAGAUUAUGCUGACAUGAGUAGCGAAAAUGCGGGUGAGAAACCCGCACGCCGAAAGCCCAAGGUUUCCUCAGUAAAGGUAAUCUGCUGAGGGUUAGUCGGCCCCUAAGGCGAGGCCGAAAGGCGUAGUUGAUGGGAAACAGGUUAAUAUUCCUGUACCACCUGCGAAUGCGACGGGGGGACGGAGAAGGGUAGGCCGGCCGGGUGUUGGAUGUCCCGGUUUAAGCGUGUAGGCGGGAGAGGUAGGCAAAUCCGCUUCUCCAUUCAACGCUGAGGCGUGAUGACGAGGGCUUUAAGCCCAUAAAGUGGUUGAUCCCAUGCUUCCAAGAAAAGCCUCUAAGCUUCAGUUCGUAGGUGACCGUACCGCAAACCAACUCAGGUGGGCGGGCAGAAAAUGCUAAGGCGAUUGAGAGAACUCUGGUUAAGGAACUCGGCAAAAUAACACCGUAACUUCGGGAGAAGGUGUGCCCUCAUUAGGUGUAGCGAUUCGCACGUGAAGCCGAAGAGGGUCGCAGAGAAAUGGCGGUAGCGACUGUUUACUAAAAACACAGCACUCUGCAAACUCGUAAGAGGACGUAUAGGGUGUGACGCCUGCCCGGUGCCGGAAGGUUAAGGGGAUUUGUCAGCGCAAGCGAAGCUUUGAACCGAAGCCCCGGUAAACGGCGGCCGUAACUAUAACGGUCCUAAGGUAGCGAAAUUCCUUGUCGGGUAAGUUCCGACCUGCACGAAUGGCGUAACGACUUCCGCACUGUCUCAACCAGAGGCUCAGCGAAAUUGAAUUAUCGGUGAAGAUGCCGAUUACCCGCGGCAAGACGGAAAGACCCCGUGAACCUUUACUACAGCUUGGCAGUGACGUUCGGGACAGCAUGUGUAGGAUAGGUGGGAGACUGUGAAGCUGGCACGCUAGUGUCGGUGGAGUCAACCUUGAAAUACCACCCUUGUUCUUCUGG